UGACCAGUGUGUGGCCAAGGAUGGCAAUGAUUGUGAUCCUGUCAACUUGUGGUUACAGAUUCCUUUCUUCUGUGGACAUGCAGCAGAGUGUUGGGUCCCUGGCAAUGAGUGGGCUCUCCAGAUGGCCAAGUACAAUCUAGUUAACAAUUACCUGGUCGUAGGCAUCACAGAAGAACUGGAGGAGUUUGUGGCGGUGCUGGAGGCCACUCUGCCAAGGAUGUUUAAAGGAGCGCUUGAUAUGUUUAUCUCAGG